rnacentral:rRNA from 1 species
AGAUUGAACGCUGGCGGCAUGCUUUACACAUGCAAGUUGAACGGCAACGCGACAUAGUGCUUGCACUAUGUUGGCGGCGAGUAGCGGACGGGUGAGUAAUACAUCGGAACGUGUCUAGUGGUGGGGGAUAACUUAGCGAAAGUUAAGCUAAUACCGCAUAAGCUUGGGAGAGGAAAGCCUGGGACCGAGAGGCCAGGCGCCACAUGAGCGGCUGAUGGCUGAUUAGCUAGUUGGUAGGGUAAGAGCCUACCAAGGCUACGAUCAGUAGCUGGUCUGAGAGGAUGACCAGCCACACUGGGACUGAGAUACGGCCCAGACUCCUACGGGAGGCAGCAGUGGGGAAUAUUGGACAAUGGGGGCAACCCUGAUCCAGCGAUGCCGCGUGAGUGAAGAAGGCUUUAGGGUUGUAAAGCUCUUUUAUCAGGGGCGAAAGGACUGAUUCUAACAGGAUCAGGAGAUGACGGUACCUGAGGAAUAAGCACCGGCUAACUACGUGCCAGCAGCCGCGGUAAUACGUAGGGUGCGAGCGUUAAUCGGAUUUACUGGGCGUAAAGGGUGUGUAGGCGGAUAUUUAAGUUGGAUGUGAAAUACCUGGGCUUAACCGAGGAAUUGCAUUUGAAACUGGAUAUCUAGAGUAAGGCAGAGGGGGGUGGAAUUCCAUGUGUAGCAGUGAAAUGCGUAGAGAUAUGGAGGGACACCGAUGGCGAAGGCAGCCCCCUGGGUUAUUACUGACGCUGAGGCACGAAAGCGUGGGGAGCAAACAGGAUUAGAUACCCUGGUAGUCCACGCUGUAAACGAUGUCGACUAGUUGUUGGGGCAAAUAGCCUUAGUAACGAAGCAAACGCGUGAAGUCGACCGCCUGGGGAGUACGGCCGCAAGGUUAAAACUCAAAGGAAUUGACGGGGACCUGCACAAGCAGUGGAUGAUGUGGAUUAAUUCGAUGCAACGCGAAGAACCUUACCUACCCUUGACAUGUGCGGAAGCUGUAAGAGAUUACGGCGUGCCUGAGAAGGAGCCGCAACACAGGUGCUGCAUGGCUGUCGUCAGCUCGUGUCGUGAGAUGUUGGGUUAAGUCCCGCAACGAGCGGAACCCUUGUUGCCAGUUGCUACGUAAGAGCACUUUGGCGAUACUGCCGGUGACAAAUCGGAGGAAGGUGGGGACGACGUCAAGUCCUCAUGGCCCUUAUGGGUAGGGCUUCACACGUCAUACAAUGGCUAGUACAGAGGGCAGCGAAACCGCGAGGUGGAGCGAAUCUCAGAAAGCUAGUCGUAGUCCGGAUUGCAGUCUGAAACUCGACUGCAUGAAGUCGGAAUUGCUAGUAAUCGCGGAUCAGAAUGCCGCGGUGAAUACGUUCCCAGGUCUUGUACACACCGCCCGUCACACCAUGGGAGUGGGGUUGACCAGAAGCAGGUAGUCUAACCGCGAGGAGGGCGCCUGCCACGGUGAGCUUCAUGACUGGGGUG